rnacentral:rRNA from 1 species
CCCUUAGAUGUUCUGGGCUGCACGCGUGCUACAAUGGCGCUUGCAACAAGUCUUGCCAACCCGAUAGGGUGAGCGGAUCUUUGAAGAGGCGUCGUGAUCGGGACAGUUGAUUGCAAUUAUUCGACUCGAACGAGGAAUUCCUUGUAAUCGCGAUUCAUCAUAUCGCGCUGAAUACGUCCCUGCCCUUUGUACACACCGCCCGUCGCUCCUACCGAUUGAGCGAUCCGGUGAAUGUUUUGGACUGGCGUCAGAAGCGGUUCGCUCCUGACACUACGAAAUUUUGUAAACCUUAUCGCUUAGAGGAAGGAAAAGUCGUAAC